GGGCCAGUGGUCUAGCUUGGUGUGAUUCUUGCCCGGGGCGCAAGAGAUCGUGGGUUCAAAUCCCAUCUGGCCCA
rnacentral:tRNA from 1 species